AUGGCGACCGAGAACUACGACCCCUGCUACCCGGACCAGCCGGCGGUGCACCGGUACCUGCCCCUGUGGGCCAGGAUGCCGGCGUUCGCCGCCAAGCCGGCCUUCGUCUGGGCCGACGACGACGACGCGCCCACCGGCGCAAUGUCAUACACCGCGAUCACGUACUCCGAGCUCAAUGCGGCGGUGGAGCGCAUGGCGUCCGGGCUCCUCGGCACGCUCCGGCGCGGCGACACCGUGCUCGUGCUCGCCUCCCCCGGCCUCCGCCUCGUCAAGCUCCUCUUCGCGUGCCAGCGCGCCGGGCUCACCGCGGUGCCCGUCAUCCCGCCCGACCCGUCCAGGCCCGGCCCCGCGCACGCGCACCUCCUGCGCGCCGUGUCUCAGACGAGGCCCAGCGCCGCCGUCGCCGACGCGCGCUACGUCACCGCCGUCGCCUCGAGCCGGCUAGCGGCCGCGCUGAGCGGCCUGCGCUGGCUGUCCGUGGACGCGCUGGACGAAGGAGAAGCUGGUUUGCCGGGCGCCAUGGCGGGGCACGCAGGCUGCGGCGCGGGAGACGCGUACCUGGUCCAGUACACGUCCGGCGCGACGGGCGUCCCGAAGCCCGUGGUGGUCACCGCCGGCUCGGCGGCGCACAACGUGCGGGCGGCGAGGCGGGCCUACGACCUGGGCCCCGGCAGCACGAUCGUCUCGUGGCUGCCGCAGUACCACGACUGCGGCCUCAUGUUCCUGCUCCUCACCGUCGUCUCCGGCGCCACCUGCGUGCUGGCCUCGCCCGACGCCUUCCUCCGGCGCCCGCGCCUUUGGCUAGAGCUCAUCUCCGAGUUCAAUGCCACGUGCACGCCCGUUCCGUCGUUCACGUUGCCGCUCGUCCUCCGCCGUGGCGGCGGGCGCUCGGCGUCGCGGCCGGUGCAGCUCGGCAGUCUCCGGAACCUGAUCCUGAUAAACGAGCCGAUCUACAAGGCGUGCGUCGACGAGUUCGUCGCAGAGUUCGGCCGCCACGGGCUGCGCUCCGAGUCGGUCUCGCCGUCGUACGGCCUCGCCGAGAACUGCACGUUCGUGUCCACGGCGUGGCGGAGCACAAGCGGGCGCGUGGACCGCCUCCCGUCGUACAAGAAGCUACUGCCGUCGGCGAGGCUGCCAUCGUCCUCGUCCAGGGCGCACGAGGCGCCGGAGAUCGAGAUCGUCGUGGUGGACGAGAAGACCGGUGAGCCGGUGAGGGACGGCACGGAGGGGGAGGUCUGGGUGUCCUCGCCGAGCAACGCGUCGGGGUACCUAGGCCACCCGUCGGCGAGCCACGAGGCAUUCUGCGGGAGGAUGCCGGGGAGGGCGGGGUCGCGCUUCGUGCGCACGGGCGACCGCGGCGUCGUCACCGGACCGGAGCGGUACCUGUAUGUUGUCGGCCGUAGCGUCGACGUGGUCGGCACGGCGUUCAACAGCCGCGUGCACGCACACUACAUCGAGACGGCAGCUCUCGGAAGCGCGCCGGAGCGCCUGAGGGGUGGCUGCAUCGCCGCUUUCACCGUGCCGGCGGCAGCGUCGAAGGAGCAAAUGUGCAUCGUCGCGGAGCUGCAGAAGGGGAGCGGCGGUGACCACACGAGUCUCUGUGACGGCAUGAGGCGGUCAGUGUGGGAGGCGGAAAGGGUGAGGGUUGGUCGGGUCAUGCUGGUCCAGAGCGGCGCGGUGCCGAAGACGACGUCAGGGAAGGUGCGCCGUGGGGCGGCGAGGGAGAAGCUGGUCGCCCGGAGGUAUCCGGUGGUUUUUGAGGCCCUGUACGACAACGGUGACGGCGGGGGCUCGACGCGUGCGGUGCGUGACGAAGAUGGAGAAAUGGAGGAGAGGUGCGCGGCAAGCUGGAUGGCAGGAGAGGGUGGGGUGCCCGCCAUGGCCACGGCCUUAGGUGGUGCAAGCCGCCGUGUUCGCGUCCAAUCGUUUCUGUGA
rnacentral:rRNA from 1 species